CCCUUUUUGUAAAUGUAUGGCACAUUCAGUAUUGCAACAUGAACACAUCAUCAAACACACUAACCUUGGAAUAAAUUACACCACUGACAGAGCACUGUAAAACACAUUUUGACAAGCUAACCUAAAAAUGCUUCAGGUAACAUCUAAACUAAUUGGUUUUAUUCACGUAGUCAUUACAAAUAUUACUUGCUAUGAAUGAAACAACCUGAUAAAAGUUAGUCAUUUAAAGGUUUAUAUUAUAGGGAGAAAAACGCACUUGAAAAGUUUUUGAAAUUUCACAUAUAAAAUGUCCCACCACCUGACAGAUAUUACUCUAAUAAGUGAUCUGAGAAAUCACACGUCUCUGUAAAAGUAGAAAACAGCAAAAGUAGUCAGAAUGACAGUAGUGGCAUUUUUUAGCUCAUCAAAAAACACUCUCUGCCUGUCAAUCAUUCUGCAUGUCAGAGUUUGCAGACUUUGGGGGCGGGGCUUUGCAAAGGGGGCGUCACUUAGGAAAAAAAGACACAGUUUAGUGAAAAACUGCAUUUUUACAUAAAACGUCAUAUUACCUGAUGGAUAUUUCUGAAAUAAGUGUGCUGAGACACCACACAAAUCUCUGUGAAAGUAGAGAAAACUUUCUUAGAUCUCAAAUAUAAUGACAUUAAUGGCAUUUUUAUCCAAUCAGAAACACUCUCUGGCCAUCAAUCGUUUUGCAUGUUGCUGACCUGCCUUUGGAGGGUGCAGUUUUGCAAAGAGGAUCCGCCUUCAGAGAUACUGUCAGCAAUACUGAUCUCACAUCACAGCACAGCAGACGCCCUCCCACUACACAGCUAUCUGACUGAUCUGAGAGCAGCUGGCGCUGAAGAAAAAGGCACAGGAUGAUGACUGCGGCUGAGGCCGAGGUCUUGUGAAGAUGAAGAGUGGAUAGACACACCUGUUUAAAGAGUUCAGCUUUUGAACCUUCACGCUUCAGAUGUUACAAAACGCAAGCAAACUUCGCUGUGGCCCAUUUUGUGAUGUGGUUCUCACACUGUUGUAAGGUCCAGGCACUCGGUCCAAGGAAGGUAUCCGGUGCUGGCUGAAGGUUUCUUGCGCGUUCGGUCUUUUCAGCGUGUAGAGUUAUUCAAUUUAAAUCCAAUUCUAAUCUGACUCCAUUUUAAUAUUUCAUCUGACUCCAUUUUAAUAAUUCAUCUGACUCCAUUUUAGUAUGACCUCGAAUUUAGGUUGAAAGGCAAAUUGGUUGAUUGUCUGUCUCUAAUUAUUAUUAUUAUUAUUCUGACAUUGGAUUAUUCUAGUUAACUCUUUACUUUAUAUUUACUUGUUCAUUAGGAAUCUAUGUCGCUCAGGGUGCCCCACGACGGCCGUUCUUCUACGUGUGCCCCACGAUCACAAACUCGCCAGUCUAAACAGUAGUCAGAGGUUAUGACUAAUACUAUUUAAUAGGUUACCCAUACUUACCAUAUUUGAAAUAGUAUUUUCGUUUAGUCCCCCUCAGUUACCCAUGUACAACUUAGUUAAAGCUCACCACAAUAAUCAGCGGUUAUGCUAGCACUAUCUGUCUAGCCCCCCCGACAGUCAUAUAACUACGUACAACUUAAUUAAAGCUGAGACAAUAAUCAGAGGUUAUGCUAGCACUACCUGUCUAGCCCCCCGACAGUUAUAUAACUGCGUACAACUUAAUUAAAGCUGAGACAAUAACCAGCGGUUAUGACCAGUGCUCUGACUAGCCCCCCAUAGUUACUGCAACUGAGUACAACUUAACUAAAGUCAAGCGGUUAGCCAGAAAUCUAAAACCUCACCUGAUGUGCCCCAUGCUCCAUCGCCUGAGUUUUAGUAUGCACUUAACCCUGGACGCAGAUUUGCGGAAACAUAGCCUUCACUUAAUCUACUUGAGGAAACAAUUUCAGAGUAACUCAGAGUAAAUCAAAUGUAACAAUUUAUUAUCAGUCAGGUAAGUAUUAUGCCAAUUACAUAGCCAAUUCAGAGAUAUCAAAUCAAUACAAGACAUCAAAUUCUCAAAGGUGAAUCUAAGAGUAAAAAGAUGCAUACCUGACUUUUAGAAAAAAAUACAUAAGUAUGAAGUGUGUGGACACACUUCAUGCUAAGGGCUCAUUCUGGCUACAGAAGGCCCUGAUCCUUUUGCUGCAAUCGUUUAAAUACCCCAGACCAAGACAAACAUCCCCCGAGAUGGAGACAGUAACAAACAAUAGGAAUUUGCAUUAACUCAGGUCCCAAGCCUGGGUGGUUUUACAACUCAAUGGGAACAGGAGGUAAUUUACAUGGAGGACCCUGGGAAGGGGCACUCCCAUUACAGUAGGCAAAAUAUCUCUUAACUCUUAGGAUCUGUAUUAUCUUUUAAUCUACUUUUGUAAGAUUGAGACCAUUGUACUAGUUGCACUGAGACAUUUCAAAUGAUACCAGACAUGACUGUUAGUUCACUUGCAUUGACAUUUUCAUGUAAUCAUUUUGAGCAGAUUGAGUAGAAGGAAG
ensembl:lncRNA